rnacentral:rRNA from 1 species
AGAGUUUGAUCAUGGCUCAGGUUGAACGCUGGCGGCAGGCCUAACACAUGCAAGUCGAACAGUAACAGGAAGCAGCUUGCUACUUCGCUGACGAGUGGCGGACGGGUGAGUAAUGUCUGGGAAGCUGCCUGAUGGAGGGGGAUAACUACUGGAAACGGUAGCUAAUACCGCAUAAUGUCGCAAGACCAAAGAGGGGGACCUUCGGGCCUCUUGCCAUCGGAUGUGCCCAGAUGGGAUUAGCUUGUUGGUGGGGUAACGGCUCACCAAGGCGACGAUCCCUAGCUGGUCUGAGAGGAUGACCAGCCACACUGGAACUGAGACACGGUCCAGACUCCUACGGGAGGCAGCAGUGGGGAAUAUUGCACAAUGGGCGCAAGCCUGAUGCAGCCAUGCCGCGUGUAUGAAGAAGGCCUUCGGGUUGUAAAGUACUUUCAGCGGGGAGGAAGGGAGUAAAGUUAAUACCUUUGCUCAUUGACGUUACCCGCAGAAGAAGCACCGGCUAACUCCGUGCCAGCAGCCGCGGUAAUACGGAGGGUGCAAGCGUUAAUCGGAAUUACUGGGCGUAAAGCGCACGCAGGCGGUUUGUUAAGUCAGAUGUGAAAUCCCCGGGCUCAACCUGGGAACUGCAUCUGAUACUGGCAAGCUUGAGUCUCGUAGAGGGGGGUAGAAUUCCAGGUGUAGCGGUGAAAUGCGUAGAGAUCUGGAGGAAUACCGGUGGCGAAGGCGGCCCCCUGGACGAAGACUGACGCUCAGGUGCGAAAGCGUGGGGAGCAAACAGGAUUAGAUACCCUGGUAGUCCACGCCGUAAACGAUGUCGACUUGGAGGUUGUGCCCUUGAGGCGUGGCUUCCGGAGCUAACGCGUUAAGUCGACCGCCUGGGGAGUACGGCCGCAAGGUUAAAACUCAAAUGAAUUGACGGGGGCCCGCACAAGCGGUGGAGCAUGUGGUUUAAUUCGAUGCAACGCGAAGAACCUUACCUGGUCUUGACAUCCACGGAAGUUUUCAGAGAUGAGAAUGUGCCUUCGGGAACCGUGAGACAGGUGCUGCAUGGCUGUCGUCAGCUCGUGUUGUGAAAUGUUGGGUUAAGUCCCGCAACGAGCGCAACCCUUAUCCUUUGUUGCCAGCGGUCCGGCCGGGAACUCAAAGGAGACUGCCAGUGAUAAACUGGAGGAAGGUGGGGAUGACGUCAAGUCAUCAUGCCCCUUACGACCAGGGCUACACACGUGCUACAAUGGCGCAUACAAAGAGAAGCGACCUCGCGAGAGCAAGCGGACCUCAUAAAGUGCGUCGUAGUCCGGAUUGGAGUCUGCAACUCGACUCCAUGAAGUCGGAAUCGCUAGUAAUCGUGGAUCAGAAUGCCACGGUGAAUACGUUCCCGGGCCUUGUACACACCGCCCGUCACACCAUGGGAGUGGGUUGCAAAAGAAGUAGGUAGCUUAACCUUCGGGAGGGCGCUUACCACUUUGUGAUUCAUGACUGGGGUGAAGUCGUAACAAGGUA